rfam:Ipomoea nil DNA, scaffold: scaffold0465, cultivar: Tokyo-kokei standard.
CGCUGGAGGCAGCGGAUAAUCGAUCUAUUCCUGUAACCUAAAGAAUUAAUUAGCUUAACAGGAUUUGAUCGAUAAUCCUCUGCAUCCAGC